UAUGGUUUCGUUCCUCAGAACAGUUGCAGUCGUUCUUACGAAUCAUUUUGCCGUAUGUGGCAGUGGAACAAAUGAUUUCUAAAUUCAUCCUUCUGUAUCAUAAUCAUCAACUUCAACAACGCUGGAUCUCUGAAAUUGUUCGGUUAUCCCAUUUUUCUUUGGUGAUAGUAGAAAAAUAUUACCAGCAAAAAAGGAAAAAAUGGAAAAAAUACCGAGCACCAGAGAAUGAUAUAGUCCAAUCUUUAGAGUAAUUUAAAGUUUGACCCCAGUAGUCCACGCCGUAAACGAUGGAUGCUUGACAUUGGCAGUAUCGACCCUGCCAGUGUCGCUUAAUCAAGUUAACACCUUAAGCAUCCCGCCUGGGUAGUACGGCCGCAAGGCUAAAACUCAAAGGAAUUGACGGGGACCCGCACAAGCGGUGGAGCAUGUGGUUUAAUUCGACGGUAAGCGAGGAACCUUACCAGGGCUUGACAUGACGCUGCAAGCUCCCGAAAGGGAGUCGCCUUCGAGGGUGCGUCACAGGUGCUGCAUGGUUGUCGUCAGCUCGUGUCGUGAGAUGUACCGUUAAGUCGGGUAACGAGCGCAACCCCUAUGCUAUGUUAAAUCACUCAUAGCGAACUGCCCCCCACUGAGCGCAUUUAUUUCGUAAACGCUAAUUUCGAAAAUCAAAAAUCAAAUCUCAAAGAUUAAAGAAGUCGCCUGCGGCGACACCAAAUUUUUGAGAUUUAAGAUUUGAGAUUUAAUAUUAGCACUGAGCGGAGUGAAGUGCGUUGAGUGGGGGGAGGAAGGUGGGGAUGACGUCAAAUCAGCAUGGCUCUUACGUCCUGGGCGACACACGUGCUACAAUGGCCGGUACAAAGGGUUGCUAAGUCGUAAGACGGAGCUAAUCCCAUUAAAGCCGGUCCCAGUUCGGAUUGAGGUCUGCAACUCGACCUCAUGAAGUCGGAAUCGCUAGUAAACGCAUAUCAGCCACGGUGCGUUGAAUACGUUCUCGGGUCUUGUACACGAGUUGCCUGGCAGCUUUAAAAGCCAGUCCGUUUAAAUCGGACUCAGUGAUUGUAGAUCACUGAAAGCGAAAUCGCAGUUUGCAGUC
rnacentral:rRNA from 2 species